GUCCACUGCUCACUGAGGAGAGAAGGAGACGGCUGUGGCACACACACAAUUUGCUGAUAUGGCCCCAUCCAGCUCUACUUUCAGAAUCAUCACUGACAUGCCAGUUCUCUCUGUGUUUUUUCAAAAUAAAACUUUUGUCUUGACUGGGGUGGGUUUAGUGACCCUUUCUUUUUGUGCAUGGAGAUAUUUAGGGAAUCAUGGCCCCAACAUUGAUUCACUGGAAGAACAAAAGAAGGAACUUGAGUUGCAGAAACGUCAACUGGAAGAACAAAAGACAGAACUUGAGUUGAAGA